GACGAACGCUGGCGGCGUGCUUAACACAUGCAAGUCGAACGGAAAGGCCCUGCCUUUGUUGGGUGCUCGAGUGGCGAACGGGUGAGUAACACGUGAGUAACCUGCCCUUGACCUUGGGAUAACUUCAGGAAACUGGGGCUAAUACCGGAUAGGAGCUCCUGUUGCAUGGUGGGGGUUGGAAAGUUUCGGUGGCUGGGGUUGGACUUGCGGCUGAUCAGCUUGUUGGUGGGGUAGUGGUUUACCAAGGCCUUGACGGGUAGCCGGCCUGAGAGGGUGACCGGCCACAUUGGGACUGAGAUGCGACCCGGACUCCUACGGGAGGCAGCAGUGGGGAAUAUUGCGCGAUGGGCGGAAGCCUUAUGCAGCAACGCCGCGUGCGGGAUGACGGCCUUCGGGUUGUAAACCGCUUUCGCCUGUGACGAAGCGUGAGUGACGGUAAUGGGUAAAGAAGCACCGGCUAACUACGUG
rnacentral:rRNA from 1 species